rnacentral:lncRNA from 1 species
AAAGAAAAACUAAGGAAAAAUAGUUUCCCAGGAAGUUUUCUCUUUAACACUUAUCAGACAUAUUACAAAAACAAAAACUAAUGAGACAACUGCCUCAUAGUUUGUCAUAUUGGUUCAGUUUAGUUUAGUCCUGCUUCUCUUUCCACGUCUGACAAUUCAUUCUAUGAUUAGACUUAGGAAAAGACACGUAUAGGGGUAGAUUCAACUUCUCAUUGGUGAUCCACAAAGCUGCCAGCUGUCUCUGUAUGUAAAGUUUUAUAAAAAGGAAUUUAUUAUUCUUCAGUAAAAAUAAGGAAUUCAGAUAGUUCCAAAUCUGGUAAGUUUAUUAUUAAUGAUCUCCAAAAGACUCCCUUAAACAUUGAGUUCUCCCUGGAAGCUGUGGUUUUAGUUUCAUUUGACAUUAACACAUUCUGAAAUUACUCUAUGUGGUGCUGGGUCUUGCUGUUAGUUUCCCUUUGAUGUUACAGAACUAUUACUAUCU